ACUGCCGGCGAUUCUCGUCGCGUGGAAUGUGGUGUUUGGGAGAGCCUCCUCACAGCGAGACGACCAGUCCAAGUCCACCUUGACUGGGGCCACGGCCCAUAGAGGGUGAUAGGCCCGUAAGGCGGUUGCUUUGCUGUGCUGGCUUUUCCCCAGAGUCGAGUUGCUUGGGAGUGCAGCUCAAAGUGCGUGGUAAACUCCACGUAACGAUAAAUAUGACCCCGAGACCGAUAGCGAACAAGUACCGUGAGGGAAAGUUGAAAAGAACCCUGAAGAGAGAGUUCAAGAGUACGUGAAACUGUGUAGUGGUAAACAGAGGGGUUCUCGAAGUUGGAGCUGGAGGUUCAGGUUAACGUGGGUGCCGCUGGUGCGCGAGGGAUCCGCAAGGACUCGUGCGUGCUGGCACGGUGCUCACGGUGGCUGCAUUUCUCCAGCUCUGCACGCAACGAACCGCUAGCUGUUGGACCGAGGACGUCGGUGAAGUUUGUGGUGCGCUCCGGCGUGCGGCAAGCCCGGCUGUCUUGGCUCCGAUGCUGGCGGGUAGCUAAGCAGGCUCGUAGAGCGAGUGUCUUGAUUGGCACGGCUUGCAUCUCGGUUGCGAGUAGGUCGGCGGCCCCUCUGACCCGUCUUGAAACACGGACCAAGGAGUCUAACACGUGUGCGAGUCAUUGGGUUGACUAAACCUAAAGGCGUAGUGAAAGCAAAGGGUACUUGUACCUGAGGGGUGAUCCCGCCCGUUACCGGGGGGGCGCAACCCUGGCGCUUCGCGUCGACCUCGUAUCGUGCGGAGCAGUAAGAGCAUACGCGU
rnacentral:rRNA from 1 species